AUGAACGCUGGCGGCGUGCCUAAUACAUGCAAGUCGAGCGAACAGACGAGGAGCUUGCUCCUCUGACGUUAGCGGCGGACGGGUGAGUAACACGUGGAUAACCUACCUAUAAGACUGGGAUAACUUCGGGAAACCGGAGCUAAUACCGGAUAAUAUAUUGAACCGCAUGGUUCAAUAGUGAAAGACGGUUUUGCUGUCACUUAUAGAUGGAUCCGCGCCGCAUUAGCUAGUUGGUAAGGUAACGGCUUACCAAGGCGACGAUGCGUAGCCGACCUGAGAGGGUGAUCGGCCACACUGGAACUGAGACACGGUCCAGACUCCUACGGGAGGCAGCAGUAGGGAAUCUUCCGCAAUGGGCGAAAGCCUGACGGAGCAACGCCGCGUGAGUGAUGAAGGUCUUCGGAUCGUAAAACUCUGUUAUUAGGGAAGAACAAAUGUGUAAGUAACUAUGCACGUCUUGACGGUACCUAAUCAGAAAGCCACGGCUAACCACGUG
rnacentral:rRNA from 1 species